UACAGAGGGUGCGAGCGUUGUUCGGAAUUACUGGGCGUAAAGGGUGCGCAGGCGGUUCUGUAAGUCAGAUGUGAAAUCCCCGGGCUUAACCUGGGAAUUGCGUUUGAAACUACAGAGCUAGAGUGUGGCAGAGGGGGUGGAAUUCCAUGUGUAGCAGUGAAAUGCGUAGAGAUAUGGAAGAACAUCGAUGGCGAAGGCAGCCCCUGGUUAACACUGACGCUCAUGCACGAAAGCGUGGGGAGCAAACAGG
rnacentral:rRNA from 1 species